rnacentral:tRNA from 1 species
CAGGAAGUAGUUUAUUUAAAAUAUUAAUUUUGGAGGUUAAUGAAAGAGAAUUUCUCUUUUCCUGA